rnacentral:rRNA from 1 species
GACGAACGCUGGCGGCGUGCUUAACACAUGCAAGUCGAACGGAAAGGCCCUGCUUUUGUGGGGUGCUCGAGUGGCGAACGGGUGAGUAACACGUGAGUAACCUGCCCUUGACUUUGGGAUAACUUCAGGAAACUGGGGCUAAUACCGGAUAGGAGCUCCUGCUGCAUGGUGGGGGUUGGAAAGUUUCGGCGGUUGGGGAUGGACUCGCGGCUUAUCAGCUUGUUGGUGGGGUAGUGGCUUACCAAGGCUUUGAUGGGUAGCCGGCCUGAGAGGGUGACCGGCCACAUUGGGACUGAGAUACGGCCCGGACUCCUACGGGAGGCAGCAGUGGGGAAUAUUGCACAAUGGGCGGAAGCCUGAUGCAGCAACGCCGCGUGCGGGAUUACGGCCUUCGGGUUGUAAACCGCUUUCGCCUGUGACGAAGCGUGAGUGACGGUAAUGGGUAAAGAAGCACCGGCUAACUACGUG